AUCCAGCUGACGAGUCCCAAAUAGGGACGAAAUGCACGUCGUGGAC
rnacentral:hammerhead_ribozyme from 1 species